UUGGCCCUCUCCUCCCCCAAUCCCCGCCCCCUCUCUCCACCCCCAAUCAGACGCCUCCUGGCUACGGGAGCCCCGACGGUGGCGGCGGCCGGAAUGGAACAGGUCGGCGGCAAGCAGGGCAAGAACGGGCGGCGGCGUGUCGUCUCUUUUCUCUCUCCAUAUUGCCCGCGUGAAGCGCGAGAGGUUGAGGUCAAGGCAGCGGCGGCUGUGCUGGCCGCGGCAGACGUGAAGGAGGAGGGGCGCCUGGCCGACUGGGCCGAGGUCGGGCGGGAGGAGGUAGCACGGCAGCGGUGGGGAGCGCGCUGCGAGCGACGGCGGCAGCUGGACGCGGUAGUGGUCGGCAGCGCCCCGAGCGAUGGGGGUGACUCGACGCGGCAGAGCAGCGGCAAGGAGUGCGCGCUCGGGCGCGCGCCAGCAGCCUGAUCCAAGGGAUGUUGGAGCCGGACGGCCGGCAGGCGGCAGGACGAGGUCGCCCCAUCCACCUCGUCUUCUCACGUCCAUUCCGGCCAAGAUCCGGCUCUCCCGCUCUCUCUCUCCUCCUGGUCUUCAACAGCACAUGGCAGAUGGGGAGGACGGCCGGGAGGUGGUGACUGCUUCACUAGAAUCCAUGAAGAAGCCGGAGCUUGUGGCGCCCUUUUGCUACAGCCUACAGGCUUAGGUAUGUGCUUUCUUCCCCCUCCUCUGAAAGAACCGAAUUUUUUGAAGCCUACGGUGGGGCUGUUCGUGUCUAGAGUGAUUUGAUUUGCAGGUGGGGGAAAGAUAGUGCUAUGCACAUGGGUAAGUAAUAUGAACUCACAGGGAAAUAGUAGAGUCAGACUGGAGCUCUCACUGGCGUGGCAUCACAAUGCACAGUUCAUAGCUAAAAGCUACUGAGAUGUAGAUUCUGAUGUAUUUUAGCUCAGCCUAAGAAACAAUAAAACGAAACUGGUAUCUUUCUUUGUUCUUGCAGCUCUUCUGCUGGUUUUGCUUCAUAGAUGUGUGAUCAAAAUCAUAAGCCUUGUUAAAUAAGUAAAUCACAAUAUCACGAUUUUGUUCGCUUCGUGUUAGAACGACUGUUUGAUCUCUUAGUGCUUCAAAAAUUUAUGGGUUCAUCUUGCUUUUUGUGUAUGCUCUCGAUCUCCUUGUGAACAAAACAAGUGGACCAAAUUUUCUAACUUUUGUAUGCAUGUUGGUCGGGCGGGAGGAGGCGGCGGGGCAGCGGUGGGGAGCGUGCUGCGAGCGAUGGCGGCCACUAGAUGCGGAAGCGGCAGUGGCCAGCAGCGCCUUGAGCGAUGGGGUGACUUGACGCGGCAAGGAGUGCGCACGCCAGCAGCCUGAUUAGGGUGAUUAUGGUAUCCACCGUCCUCCAAAACUUCAGAAGUUAUUAUGGAUGAGAGAAAGGCACUAGCAAGUAUGACAACAAAAUCUCCUUAUCUCAAGGAGAUUAUUGAUGCUGCUGCUUAUAGGUCAAAAGAGUGGGAAGAAACAAUGGGUGAUGAAAGCAAAAGGGCUGUUUGAUCUCAUAGAUGUGUGAUCAAAAUCAUAAGCCUUGUUAAAUAAGUAAAUCACAAUAUCACGAUUUUGUUCGCUUCGUGUUAGAACGACUGUUUGAUCUCUUAGUGCUUCAAAAAUUUAUGGGUUCAUCUUACUUUUUGUGUAUGCUCUCGAUCUCCUUGUGAACAAAACAAGUGGACCAAAUUUUCUAGCUUUUGUAUGCAUGUUGGUCGGGCGGGAGGAGGCGGCGCGGCAGCGGUGGUGAGCGCGCUGCGAGCGAUGGCGGCCACUAGAUGCGGAAGCGGCAGUGGCCAGCAGCGCCUUGAGCGAUGGGGUGACUUGACGCGGCAAGGAGUGCGCACGCCAGCAGCCUGAUUAGGGUGAUUAUGGUAUCCACCGUCCUCCAAAACUUCAGAAGUUAUUAUGGAUGAGAGAAAGGCAAUAGCAAGUAUGACAACAAAAUCUCCUUAUCUCAAGGAGAUUAUUGAUGUUGCUGCUUAUAGGUCAAAAGAGUGGGAAGAAACAAUGGGUGAUGAAAGCAAAGAAUUUGUGAAUUACAUGCGAAAGAGAGAGAAGCAAGAGAAAGCAAGAGGAGCUGUUCUCUCAAGCUCCAGAAACCAAUGUCAAAAGUACAUCGAGAAGAUGAAGAAGCAACUUCAUGGGUUAUAAGGCGCAACUCUCCCUUGGCUUAUUACACUUAUCUAAUGAGGCAAUAUUAAGAAUCUGAUACUUGCUUUAGUCAACACGCGUCAGCGCCGGGUUUUGAUGGUUUUGGGGACAUGGAAAACAAAUGUAGCACACUUGUGCUUGAUAUUUAAGCUAAACCAUGUCUAGGAAAGAAGAGGUCAAGUGAUGCCAGAAAACAGCGAGCAUGGCGCGCAACGCACCUGUCGGGACAGGCUGCCAGAGCGGUGUUCAUGACGACUGCUGCAACUUGGGGAGAGACUUCUGCAUUGAUGUACAACAAGUUGCCUGAAGCCAGGGUGCCAAGUGACAUGGUUUGAAAGGAGCAUUAUUUCUUCCUAUAAAUGAUCUGAAAGGGGCAAACCAAUCCAUCUCGUCCAAUCCCAUGCGACAGUACUUUUUCCAGCCCCACUUUCACAGCAACCGUUGGAUGCAGUGAUUUCUUUUUGCACCUCUGGCUCGUCUAGAUGGGUCAAUGAUGGCUGGGACCAGGCUCUUGCGGUGCCGGCAGAAAGAGGCAGCCACGAUGCUCGUUUUGUGUCGUCUUCCUUCCCGUACCCGCAUGUACUCUGUCCAACUCCAUAUGCUAUUUCUCAAAUAUGUGCGCCCUCCCGUUGGGCCAUGGAAUCCUCGAAGGUUGGGGAAGAACUGCAAAUAAAUAACCACAGUAUAUGGUUCUCAUCCUCCCUCAACUCAGGUUACAGUUGCUUUCCCUUGCUCCAUUUGAGAGAUUUCUGCAAGGAGCUGGUGGAAGGGUGCUCGUCUCUGGACAGCUCCUGCUUCUCCAUCUCCACGGUCUCUGGUGGCAUCACCAAGCUAUAUUGUCAUAUAACUUAAUGAAUGCACCACUGUAAGAUUGCUUGCUGGUACUAUUUAUCAAGGCGGGUGAUGGCUGCAGCAGCGGCCUCGGGUGGUGGAGGAUGGUGUCUGUCGAGGCACCAACAGGUGCAGCUUGUUGGUUGUGGCUUGGCAAGCGUCGUCUCGGCGAGUGCCAGGGCGGCUUCUUCUUUUUUCCUUCCGGGCACUGGAGUAUUACAUGCCCUUUUUGGAUGAGAUUUGUGUAUCCACGUGCUGCUGCCCAUCUACAUGACUUGAGGUUGUCCCGUUUGUUCUAGCGGAGGCAGGUCUUUUGUGAGGAUUGUAGCUGCAGGAGAUAGGGUCAGUACACUAGAUUUCAGCAUCACAGUCAUUGUACUGGUUGCCGCAGUGGUGCUUCUCCUCACAGGUGCCGGUGGUUGCGACUGUCGACAAUUGUGUGUGUAUGCCUCUCCAUUCGUGACCCCAGCCUCCGUCUUUUUGGCAUAAAGUCAUAGAUAUUAUCAUAACUUUGAUGCAAUAUGUACUGCAGAUUUAAUCCAGCUGACAUAGGGUUCUUACUCUUCCAUUUUAGGUUCAUUGAACAACCUGCCAGACACAUGGUUGUUACUCUUCCAUGUUAGGUUCAGUGAACAAUUUGUGUGUGAUCAUGAAUUAACCCUUCAGAAUUUUAAGAUGCAGCAUAAUUUAUAAAGGGCACGAUGUCCUGGCAGAAUUAUUAACUUUCAUAUUUUGUGUGUAAUAAGACCUGCUUGUUGUGCUCACUCACUAGGUGUUCUCAAGGAAAAAUACUCAUAUGACAGUGUCUCGAAAGUAUGUAUAUCUGUCAGUGUUAUAUAUAUUACACUUCAUACCUAAGUUGUGCAUGAAGUGAUAUUUCUUCAGCAAAAGUUACCUGACGGUAUUUAUUACAGUGUAUUUGACAUAUAAGGAACCUGAGUACAAAAUAAAAUGGCUGAUAUGUGGCAUGCAUCUAAGGUUGUUAGAUGUUUCCGUUUUUUAGUUCCAUAGAUGAGAAGAUGCGACUCAGGACGUACUCCUUGGACACAAGACAGACGCGUGGAUGGGCCGCUUCAGCGCUGCCUGCAGCCUUGGGCAAGCUGUUACUGUCACCAGCGCAGGGCGGCGUGUGCUUGAGAUUCCACUCGAGAUCGAUCGGAUUCGACCGGAUUUUGUAGCCAGUCGAGUUGUAGUGUUCAGGAAUCAGAUCUUGUGAGGUUGUUAAAUUUCAGAGAAAAUGUAAACUGGUAUGAGUUUCAGAAUUAUAUGGCCAUAUGCUCUGUAAUUUUA